CCUACGGGAGGCAGCAGUGAGGAAUAUUGGUCAAUGGACGGAAGUCUGAACCAGCCAUGCCGCGUGCAGGAAGACGGCUCUAUGGGUUGUAAACUGCUUUUGUACGAGGGUAAACCUGAAUACGUGUAUUCAGAUGAAAGUACUGUACGAAUAAGGAUCGGCUAACUCCGUGCCAGCAGCCGCGGUAAUACGGAGGGUCCAAGCGUUAUCCGGAUUUAUUGGGGUUAAAGGGUGCGUAGGCGGAAUGAAAAGGUAGGGGGUAAAUGUCCAGGCUUAACUCGGGAACUGCCUCUAAUACUGUCGAGCUAGAGAGUAGAUGCGGUAGGCGGAAUUCAUGGUGUAGCGGUGAAAUGCUUAGAGAUC
rnacentral:rRNA from 1 species